ACCGCAGAAAGCAUCCGUCCAUCGAUCCAUUCAUCCAGCCUCUCUCCCUCUUGCCCGAACCCUAGAGCUCCGCUCCUCCCUGCCGCCGCCACCUCCACCUCCCUCUCCCCGAUCCAGACCCAGCCACCACCCAUGGCGCCAGCCAGAGCAGCCUGCGGCGAUGGCGACAGCGAGGCUAGAGGCCGCCGGAUUCGGGAUCAGGGCGGCACAUAGCCCCUCCUCCCGUGAGAUCCGGGACGCAGUCGCCCAUCUGGAUCGAGCAGCUCCUCUGGCCGCUGCACCGUCUCCACCGUCCGGAUUUGGUGCUCCUCACGCGACCCACCCCCCAGCACGCGUCUCCACCUUCUCUUCCCCAACAUCCUUGGUGAGGGAAUGAAUAGGAGCUCCGGCCAAGGCCAUGGACGCCACCAGCAGAAGCUCCGCCUCGGAUCUUGCGACCUCGUCGACCGAAUCCAGCAGGUCCCCGCCGCUGCACCAAGAUCCUCCCCUCCCUCCCAGAGAGUCCCUCUCUCCCACACGCUCUGCAUCCGCUAUGGCCGUCGCAGCUUCCACCUCCAGAAGAGCACCUGCUCCUUGUGCGGUUACCCGGCCGCCCGCAUCCGCAAGUAGAGAUUGACGGUCGGCUGGGCAGUGUUAGCGCUAAACCUUCAUGCGUACUCACUCUGCUGCAAGCUUUAAUAAUCUUGAUUGAUGCAGACGCCACUGUAUGCAUGCCAAUUUUCUUUUGCAGAUGCUUUCACUUCACCCUUUUCUUUUCAUUUCUUUUCUCUCGAAACAAGGAAAGGAUUUAUUCUGACGGCCAUCUCUAUUUUAGCCUUUUAGGACUCUUAUUAAUUAACAUGCCUACUCUUCUCUGUGGUUUAAGGCUAGUCGAUUCACACUGCAUACAUGCAUAGCUAGCUUCCUCAUCUCCAGUCAAUGAGUUUGCCUUGAUUCAGGUCUUCUCUUCUCCUGGUGAUCAAAAUCAACACCGUACCCUUCCGUUCCUAUCUUAUUUACUAGUUCCCUUUCGUUUCUGUACCUGUCAUAGUCAGUGUGGUAAACUGGUAAUCAGCUAGCUUGGUGGUCACCAGAGUAUGUACUAUUUUAUUUACUAGUACUUUGCUUUCGAUUGUAAUGUGGAUCAGGAGAUGAACUAUAUAUUUUGUUUGUGUCAUGCAUGGCUGUGUCAUACAUGUAUUGACUGAACUUGACUGAAUGUGCAAUUUGAAUCUAGUACUUCUUCCAUUUCUGCUUUCCCCCAACCGGACAUAAGACAUAUCUAGGGUUUAAGCUGUUUUGUUUAGUUUGCUUGCACUGCCUGAAAUGAUGCACCAAUUCUGUAUCUUAUCCUUUUGCUGGAUGGUGGACCUGUCAACGAGUAUUAUUGACUUGAGUGACGACAGAUGCGGUAUUGUGUAGAUGGGUGGUUUGAAUAGUUCGUCCAGAGAAAAUUAUUUAUAGAAUAGAGAUUUGGCGAAAUAUGGUGCUUGUUUAUUGCUGUGAUGGAUACAUCCAAGACAAUUAUUGCGGCUUCAUCAGUGGAGUGUAUUUUUGUUUCAUUCAAUGUCUGAUCUGAUUAUAAACAUAACCACAGGACGUAUUUAGAUGGGUGUAUUUAGUGGGGUGUAUUUAGAUGGGUGUAUAUAAAAAUGAUUUGAUCUUCUCUUCCUUGGUUUCCUGAUGCGCUCCUAUUCCACAACCACAGGGACGGCACAUCAAUUGGGGACGAGCAGGAUGGGGCCAACAAGCCUAGGAGGAGGAUGAGCUCCAUCCGCAGCAGCUCAUGCUCAUGGAGGAACAAGUCUGAAUCGUUGUUGUUACUCUGCUGUCCUGGAGUCACCAUCCACAGCAGCCGUGGUGUGGCUGAGCCUCUGCUACGGCUACAACCUCCCUCUGUGGAACAACUUGGAGUUAGAGAACUUUAAGGACAAGAUCAACGAGGUGACCAGCGUUAUGGCGGCUGUGUACAGUGGCGACCACAAGUUCUUUGGUGAGCUUGCAGUAUCCAUAUUGUGUCAUAUAAGAUGCAGCUCCGUUGUGCAUCUCUCUUUUCUUGUGUGCUGCAUCAUUGUUGCUUGAUAGAGUAAAUGAUUUCAGUUCUGGUUGUGUCAAAUCUUUACUAUGUACCCUUAGUGUUUACUAAACUGAGGCACUAGGCAUUGGAAUUCAGGCAUUUAUGUAUAAUUUUAGUUUUGGAUGUGCCUGAUACGUCUCCAAUGUAUCUAUAAUUUUUGAUUACUCCAUGCUAUAUUAUUUGCUGUUUUGGACAA